ensembl:misc_RNA 7SK 7SK RNA
GGGUGUGAGGGCGAUUUGGCUGUGACAUCUGUCACCCAUUGAUUGCCAGCAUUGAUUCGGCGGAUCUGGCUGGCUAGUCGGGUGUCCCCUUCCUGCCUCACUACUUCGUGUGCGUCCCUCUUGAAGCUGAGCACUCAGUCAAAGAGGACUGCCUUCCCAAAUAGAGAUGCACCAGUCUUUGGCUGAGGGUAUAAGAGUAGCUGCACUCCCCUGCUAGGACCUCCAAAUAAGCUCUCAAGAAAAUUAUUAGUGUUAUAAGAUAAAAGAAGAGAAAAAUAUAAGUGGGUUUCUAGUGGUUAAAAAUCAUUCUAA